AGCCGAAACCCGCUGCGGCGGGUCGCGGCGGGUGGUUCCCGCCGCCUGAGGAUGGCAGCCACAC
rnacentral:hammerhead_ribozyme from 2 species